rnacentral:sRNA from 1 species
UGAAUUUCCUAAAAUGACAUUUGGCUUGC